rnacentral:rRNA from 1 species
UACGUAGGGUGCAAGCGUUAAUCGGAAUUACUGGGCGUAAAGCGUGCGCAGGCGGUUGUGCAAGACCGAUGUGAAAUCCCCGGGCUCAACCUGGGAAUGGCAUUGGUGACUGCACGGCUAGAGUGUGUCAGAGGGGGGUAGAAUUCCACGUGUAGCAGUGAAAUGCGUAGAUAUGCGGAGGAACACCGAUGGCGAAGGCAGUCCCCUGGGCCUGCACUGACGCUCAUGCACGAAAGCGUGGGGAGCAAACAGG